GGUGGGUUGGGUUAUAUUUUAUCUUUAGUAAUCUCAUAUUAGAAUGAGUCUGUUAGUUUGAGUGGUAAGGAGUUGGUGUGUUGGAGUUCUUGUGUUUGAAUCCCUACGGGAGUGAGGGUGUUAAUUUAGUUAGUGGGGUGGUAAUCAAAUUGGGUAUUUUAUUUUAUUUUAUUUUUUUCAAAAUUCUUCUCUCUUCCCAAAAAAUAUCUGACAUUGGUUUUCCCCUUUCUCUGCGUUAUUCUAUCAAUUGACAAUUCUUUUCCCUUGCUCUCUGCUUUCUGUCACAAUUCUAUUGUUCAAUCUUGGUAUUUCGCUUCUUCGGUGUUCUUGUUCGUUUUGG
rnacentral:lncRNA from 1 species